rnacentral:rRNA from 1 species
GAUGAACGCUGGCGGCGUGCCUAAUACAUGCAAGUCGAGCGAACGGACGAGAAGCUUGCUUCUCUGAUGUUAGCGGCGGACGGGUGAGUAACACGUGGAUAACCUACCUAUAAGACUGGGAUAACUUCGGGAAACCGGAGCUAAUACCGGAUAAUAUUUUGAACCGCAUGGUUCAAAAGUGAAAGACGGUCUUGCUGUCACUUAUAGAUGGAUCCGCGCUGCAUUAGCUAGUUGGUAAGGUAACGGCUUACCAAGGCAACGAUGCAUAGCCGACCUGAGAGGGUGAUCGGCCACACUGGAACUGAGACACGGUCCAGACUCCUACGGGAGGCAGCAGUAGGGAAUCUUCCGCAAUGGGCGAAAGCCUGACGGAGCAACGCCGCGUGAGUGAUGAAGGUCUUCGGAUCGUAAAACUCUGUUAUUAGGGAAGAACAUAUGUGUAAGUAACUGUGCACAUCUUGACGGUACCUAAUCAGAAAGCCACGGCUAACUACGUGCCAGCAGCCGCGGUAAUACGUAGGUGGCAAGCGUUAUCCGGAAUUAUUGGGCGUAAAGCGCGCGUAGGCGGUUUUUUAAGUCUGAUGUGAAAGCCCACGGCUCAACCGUGGAGGGUCAUUGGAAACUGGAAAACUUGAGUGCAGAAGAGGAAAGUGGAAUUCCAUGUGUAGCGGUGAAAUGCGCAGAGAUAUGGAGGAACACCAGUGGCGAAGGCGACUUUCUGGUCUGUAACUGACGCUGAUGUGCGAAAGCGUGGGGAUCAAACAGGAUUAGAUACCCUGGUAGUCCACGCCGUAAACGAUGAGUGCUAAGUGUUAGGGGGUUUCCGCCCCUUAGUGCUGCAGCUAACGCAUUAAGCACUCCGCCUGGGGAGUACGACCGCAAGGCUGAAACUCAAAGGAAUUGACGGGGACCCGCACAAGCGGUGGAGCAUGUGGUUUAAUUCGAAGCAACGCGAAGAACCUUACCAAAUCUUGACAUCCUUUGACAACUCUAGAGAUAGAGCUUUCCCCUUCGGGGGACAAAGUGACAGGUGGUGCAUGGUUGUCGUCAGCUCGUGUCGUGAGAUGUUGGGUUAAGUCCCGCAACGAGCGCAACCCUUAAGCUUAGCUGCCAUCAUUAAGUUGGGCACUCUAAGUUGACUGCCGGUGACAAACCGGAGGAAGGUGGGGAUGACGUCAAAUCAUCAUGCCCCUUAUGAUUUGGGCUACACACGUGCUACAAUGGACAAUACAAAGGGCAGCGAAACCGUGAGGUCAAGCAAAUCCCAUAAAGUUGUUCUCAGUUCGGAUUGUAGUCUGCAACUCGACUACAUGAAGCUGGAAUCGCUAGUAAUCGUAGAUCAGCAUGCUACGGUGAAUACGUUCCCGGGUCU